rnacentral:tRNA from 1 species
GCCCUAAGUAGCUUAAACCCAGCAAUAAAGCUUUGGCCUUGUAAACCAACGAUGGGAUGCAAUCCCCUAGGGCA